GGCGGCCGGGGGGGCUCCUGGGGGGCGCUGCAGCCCCCGUGCCGAGCAGUUGGCGAUGCAGGCGGCGCCGGGCCGGCCGUCGGUGCAGGGACUGACCUGUGAGCCCUGGUGUACGCCCGCUGAGGGCUGUGAAGCUUUGUGCCGGCAGAGCUGCUCGCUGCCCCUCUGCUCUACCUGUGGGUAUGGUCUGGACCCAACAAAGCCCAUCAGUGCCUGCUUGGCUGGAGGUGUGUCUGUCAUCCUGUCGAAAGCAGAGGAGCGACAGUAGAUUGUAUUAGCUGGGGUUCUGCAUUUCCUCGCCCAAAUGCUGUACGAGCCUUAAAUAAGAAGCCUGACAGUGUCUGAUUUCACUCCUUGGCAUGGUGCUUAAUGUAUGUGAGAAUUUACUUUCUGAAAACAUUUUGUGCCUUUUGGACUUGAAAUCUACUGUAAAGACACAUCGUCUUCUGCGUGAUGUAUUGUGCCCAAAAUAGCUCAGCGGUUACUACUUCCUCAUGUGACUACCAUGUAUUUAUUUCCGCUCCCUCAAUUGUAAAUUGCUUUCUGUUUUUCUUCCCUAAUCUUCUGCACUGAUGUCCAUAUUUCUUAAGAUAACAGCGAGGAGAAAAUGUCAGCAGAUUAGAUCACUAAUGUAAUCCAGCGGAUAUAAUGAGGUUAAGGGCUCUCCCCCAAACACUGGGGCUGCCAAGCUGUAAUGAGGGCAGCAAACAAGGAAAUAAUUGAGUGAGUGGGAAAAGAGACAGCAAAUCCUGAUCAAGUUGCAAGACAACAAUUUGUUCACAUUGAACCAUAAUUUUUGAUCUUGGAGGAAGGUCUCAUUGCUGAGCUGGGAUGGAUUUUAAAACGCAGACUGCGGAAAAUGAUGGAAGUGGAAAAUGUACUCGGGGGCCGGGAGGCUGUUGCUCACUGCGAGGCGGGGAAGGGCUUCUGGUGGGGACGGGAUUCUUCUGGUCCCUCCUCCUGGCAGGAGGAUGGCGAGUUUCUCAAUACUGUUUACUCGAAGUAGAAUUAAAACCCAACUCAGAGGGUGUUAAUUCUCCCUGUCCCACCAGCAAUGCGGGCUGAACGCACCCAGCACAGCAGCAGACACGCUGUGGUCAGCAGAACGUGACGGGGCUGCGGCCAGCUGGGAUUGUCCCCGCUGCCUCCAGCCAGAGCCCAAAGCUCCCCAGAUGUCUGCGGUGGCACCGACGGCCCCGAGACCCCAGCAGCAGCACACAAAUGCCAUACCUUGGCUGUGGUUCAAAGAAAGCAGGAAAAUAGCCUCCUCCUAAACUUCUGCCCCUCUUGUCACAGCCUUCGGGCCCUUUGGAGGGCAGCUGUGCUAAUGUAUGGCCACGUUGCUCAUUUUGCCAUUAUUUCCCUGCUUGCACAGCUUGCCCUCAGUAGAUGUCCAUGGGGUAAGAGCUUCCCAUUCGCCUUUACCUGGGACAAGUACCUCCGAGGAGAUGAAGAUUUCCAUUUCUGCAGGGGGAGGGAGCUGCCUCCAUCCCUGCAGGUUGUUGCUUUGGGGCUGUGUUCCACACACGUUUGCACAAGUGUUACAGCCAGUCCUGCACGGGGCAACCUGCAGCGACCCCCAGAAAAGUCAUCUCCUGCCCCCCAGGCCUGGCUCCUGCUUUGCCUGCCAGCAAAGCGCUCCCCAGCUGCUAUCCACGACCAGAUGACUGCAGCCAACCUCAUGCUCCACUGCCUUUCAUCCAGACACAAUACUUCUGCUUGCCUAGAAGGCCGGGGGGAGAGGACAGCUGAGCUGUUAUCCUCUGUUAUAUCACACUUGCCACCGCUGAUCUACAUUUGUUCUUCUUUUACAGGGCUCUUUAGCUGACUUCAUAUCAUGAGCCAUAACUGCUGGUCCUGUGCCUUGGUGCGGUGAUGCUGAGACCUGUGACAGACAUUCCCUGGCACCAGCUGCUCCUCUUGGCACCUUUUGGAUAGGGCUGAAAAUUAAAAGCAAGGAACUCACCACCUCCAUAGUGUUGGUGCAAUAAAUCCCAGCCUGGGUGUCUCCUGCGUGGCUCAGCCCUGCUGAGAGCUGUGGGGGGCGCGAAGCACCCCCUGGGUGAGCCGAGAGUGGGCUCCCCCCCAAAAAAAAGCAUCCUCCGGGCUGGAGCUCUGCGCUGCAGUUACUCCUCGGCUGGGUUUGGUUUGUGAACGCGUGGCGCCCUCUAGUACCGCCGGGCUGCCCUCCUCGCAGCCUUCAUCGUCGCUUAAAAAAAAAAAAAAAAAAAAAAAA